ACACUCACCACUGACCACCACUCCCUCCCGGAUGGCUGACCAUGGCCUCACCUCCUACCCUGUCACUUCACACUCCCCCCUUUGUUUCUUGUUGACGGCUUAUUACAUUCAUUUAUGGAUUUCCUAACUUCUGGUUUCUAGUUCCUUCUUUCUGCCCCAAACAAGGACAGAAAUUCCCCACGAACCAUGACCUUUCUAUGUCCUGCUCACUGCUCUCUCCAGAGCAUAGCCCAGAGCCAGUACACCUCGCACACCCAGCACACCUUGGUCGAAGGGAAGAAUGCACAGACAACGAACUCUGAAGUCCUCUCUUCAAAACUAAGCUGUCACUAGGAAAGGAAACGUCUUCAGAAGGAAGAGGCAGGUGGGAAGGCUUUUUUCAUACGCUUUCUCAAGGUGUGACGUCACCUCCUUAAAAACACGCUGCCUGGAAGAAAGGCGAGGUCCCAGGGCCCGACGGGCAAGAAGUGGGUCCUAACAAGACCCGGCCUGGGGGCGGCGUCUUGUGCUGACCCUGUUGGGAGAUGGGCGGGUGCACCCUGCACACACUUUCUGCUGGUGAACACAGAUGAGGCUCGUGCAGUGCACGUGGGGCGGAGAGCGGCCCAGACCUGGUUCCGGGUUCCAAGAGCGAAAGGUGUCUGUGCCGGGUUCAGUCCGCACGCACCCAGUUUCUUCCCGGGGGAGCUCCUCCACCUGUCAUCGGUGGAUGGAAACCUCCAAUUCUACCUUGAAAGGAUCCUUUGUAGCUCAUGCCUCAUUUUCUGCAGAGCUGCCAGAAGAUUCCAGAGACACUGCCUCCCCUCCACGUGCAGAUCUGCCUCCAGAUGCAGCUGCCAGGGUUCCCUCUGCCAAAGGUGAAGCACGGGCCAGGAAGGGCGGGCACCGUCACCUGUAUUUAUGGAGGGAAUUCUGAUUUUCAGAAUUCCGAUUUGCUUGUGGAGAGGUUUGCUUGGGUUUUCGUGGCCUUGCCUAGCACGUGUCCAGCACAGUGACCACUGCUUGUCGGGUGGGGAUGAGGCGGGUCUGGGAGUCCCCAACAUACACACAUGCUGCAUUCGGAUCUUACAUCGCUGGGGUUAGAAUGUUUCUCAACACAGAGGCCCAGGGCAUUUGGGGAGCAACUCUUGGACGCAAGAGACAGUCUUGCGCCUUGAAAAAUAACUCCCCCCGCCGGCCCCUCCCUGCCACCCUGAACUAACACCCUUCUCAUUGCGACAUCUCAGAAGGCCCUUCACUCUUUAAAGUGGGAAGGGCAUAGCACAGCCACGGACCUGACACACUUUGAAACCAGCCAUGGCCAAAAGGGCACAGAGUCACAACUGUCCUCAGAGAGCCCUUCAGGGAGGCUUCAAUCACUAGGGUCUGGGUCCAGAAGCUAAGAGCCCAAGAAUUCUCGUUACUCUUGGCCUUCCUUUCCCCCGGGGAGCAGAAACUUUGCCCGGGACGGUAGUGUGUGCGUGUGUGCACGUGCGUGUGAGUUCUGGGGUGGGGUGGAGAGCCUCAGUAGGAGGACCGAGGCAAGAACAUACUUUUCCGUCUCAUUUCAGUUUUGUUCUGUGGGGUAUUCGACACCAUAAGCCCAAACUUGCAACCGCAGAUGCGCGGUGGGAAUAUUCACCCUGCUGCCCACACUUCCAGCUUGAGCUUGAGUUCUGGAGUUUCUUGGUUAUUUUGGAGUUUUCAAAAGGAGCACAGCAUCAACAUUUAAGACGGUCACAUUCGCCAACAGCUGCCUUGCCUUUGAAGGAAACGAGACUUGACAGCAAGUCAUCAGCCGUGAGACGCGCUGCGCCAGCGAUGAAAUCAUUCCUGAAUUUGACUUCGCUUUUUCUUGGGAACUUGAACAAGAAACUGUGUAUUUACAGACAAAGGAGCAGUUGGACACCGGCUCGAGGACUGGCGGGGUGAGGACGUGCCUCUCUGAAGCCGGUGCGAAGAGCGGAGGCUCCUGUGACAGCGCGGCUGGGAGAGCCGGAACGCCACCCCGGCAUGGAGGGCCGUGGGCUGUGCCUGAGCACGGGCGGGCUACGGUCCACACCGUGGGCUCCGAAAGCACUCGGCGCUGGCACCUUCUACCCCGGCUCCCGCUGUUGCUUUGGGUUUUGGCUUUUUGAAGGCUGCCACAAGGAAACAGGAGGCACGAGGCAUCAGCCAGUCCCUCAGUUUAGGAGGGUUAUUCUGUCGGCUGCUGUCGUGAUUUACCGUGUUGUGUGAAACACGAAAUUGUACCUUCUGCCGGCAAGUUCAGUGAAUCCAGCUGGUGUCCAGAGGAGGAAACGAUGUUACGAACAGGAGGAAAGGACGGCAUCGCUCUAAGCAGGCCUUUCUCAUCCGCAAGACGGAACCCCUGAAAUCUGCUUCAGAGUCCCGGAGGCCAGCGGCCGGCACUCCUCCUCUC